CACAACUGCUUAAGAAAAUCAUUCCUAAUUAAAUUCCCACUAACAGCUCCACGUUCAUAGUGGUUUACAACAAAUUCCAUCUUCUAUAUAAAUUAGAAACUACAAUUCUCACGGAGUUUCAGGUUUUGAAGAUGGCUCUGGAUUAUACUCCUCUCUCAAAUCUAAAUUCUUUGAAAAAAGAAUGGAAGAUCAGAGCUCUAAUAUCAAUGGCAUGGAAUUUUUAUCUAAAAGAUAAACCUGGAGCUAUUCUCGGUAUUGAAGCAAUUCUUGUGGGGAUCCUUCUUGUGGAGGCAAAGAUUAUAUUGACGGAAUUCGAGUCACAUACUUACGGAAAAGAACCAACCGUUUGGGAAAACGAAGCUUAAACGAUUCCAGUUCCGGCGCCGUCGUUGAUGUCACUACUAAAGAUCUAGAAGACAGGAUUACGUUCCUUGAUGGUGGUCCGUGGAAGCAAGGUCGGAGAAUUACGAUCUUAAGAUAUUCGUUGUGCCUCACUCUCAUAACGAUCCUGGUUGGAAAUUGACCGUGGAGGAGUAUUAUCAGAGACAA